rnacentral:rRNA from 1 species
GUAGGGAAUAUUGGUCAAUGGGGGCAACCCUGAACCAGCCAUGCCGCGUGAGGGAAGAAGGUCCUCUGGAUUGUAAACCUCUUUUGUCCGGGAAUAAAAUCUCGCUAUAUGCGGGACUGAAGGUACCGGGAGAAUAAGCACCGGCUAACUCCGUGCCAGCAGCCGCGGUAAUACGGAGGGUGCAAGCGUUGUCCGGAUUCAUUGGGUUUAAAGGGUGCGUAGGCGGGUUUUUAAGUCAGUGGUGAAAUCCAGCGGCUCAACCGUUGAAUUGCCAUUGAUACUGAGAAUCUUGAGUGAAGGCGAGGCAGCAGGAAUGUGUGGUGUAGCGGUGAAAUGCAUAGAUAUCACACAGAACACCGAUUGCGAAGGCAAGCUGCUAGUCUUAGACUGACGCUGAGGCACGAAAGCGUGGGGAUCAAACAGGAUUAGAUACCCUAGUAGUCC